UCCCGAAGGUGAGACCCAGCGUGCGUUCGGACAGUCCGAGCGGGCUGCGGAGCCCUCUGUCUUUUGUCCGCGCCGUUUGGUCCUACGGGCUGCGCCAAUUCCCGGUUCAGAUGGAUCUGCUGUUCCCCUAUUUGGCCACGGGGACCAGCUUACGUCCACUGUCGCCGCUACGCACACACUCACACCCCGGAACCUUAUGGCUAGCGAUGGAAGAACUCUUUCGAUUGCUCUGCUGGCCUUAAUGAAGACUGUGUUCAUCUUUGUAAGAAGAAGUUCCUGGCCAUUGUUAUUAGAAUUCCGAAAGGGGAGGUCUCCUAGUGGGGCUUCCGCAGGCUCGGGAAGUCAUGCGGAACCAGCUAGUUUGCGCUUGCCUUGUGAAACUGGCUAUAUCUAGGACCCUGGUGACUGGAUACCCAGUUUCCAAAGACUAAAGGAGUAAAGGCGGGUGCUGCCUGCCAUUCUUGGGCAAGGGCUGACCUAUGCUAUGUCUUUUUGUUACCUGCCGCCACCACCCCCAAGGACCUUAACCUCUUUUACAUGUUUUUAAGCCUGUCAUAGCAAUGGCUUCCAUAUUUCAGCCAUGGUAACUACCAAACUGUAUUUCCAAGACAGGCAUUGAUGUGAUUUGUGUAACAAGAGUCAGUACUUCAUUGUUUAUUUGCUCAUUUGUGGUUUUGAAGCAAGAUCUUACUGGGUAGGCCAUACUGGCCUCUCAUUAUCUCGCUGCCUCAACUGCCCAAGUCUUGGGAUUACAGGCGUGUGCCAAUGUGCCCCACCAGACCAUUUUUGUUUCAUUUUAAUUUGAAGUUUAAUAUUAGGCAAACUGGAGCAAUUUGAAAAAAUAGCGAGGCAGCUACAUGACCUUGGGCAGGUGCCAUCUGUUUAUCCUUGAAGUGAAGACCGUGGAGGGAAAAGCCUCCUGUGUUUUAGUUUUGGACAUCCAGUGAUUUGCAAGGGGCUGUGACUACAUUGUAAAGGGAGACACUGUGCACAUUUAAGGUCUUGGGAAAGGGAUGAGAUGGUACUGUUCAAGGAGCAUCCAGACAGUCCUGGGGACGGAGAUCCGGAAGUAAAUCCCCUAACGCAGUCAAGUUUAUAGGAGGGUCUAACAUGUUCAAUUCCUGGGAGGGUCAGUAAACUGGGAAAUACAUGCGUGAGUCUGGAUAGAUUCUCUUGAUAGAAGCCACUCUGCCUACAAGAGGAUGGGAAAGGGAAAAUAGUGUUUAAACAAAUAUUUUAUUUAAUAAAAUUUUCAUGUGUGUGAGAAAGGAGUCUUACAAAGUAGAUAACACACACACACACACCCUGGAGGGGCUGUAGAGAUAGAUGGCUUGGUGGUUGAGAGCAUUGACUUCUCCAGAGGACCCAGAUUCCGUUCCCAUCCCCCACUAUGGCACCUCCUGUAACUUCAGGGGAAAUGACAUACUUGACUGGUCUCUAUGGGCACUAGGAAUGCACAUGGCGCGCACACAGGCAAAGCACUCAAGCACAGAGAAUGGUUUUACAAAGAUGAAAACUGGAAAGGAGGAUGUUAACUGGGUCUUCAAGUCGUACAAUUAUUGAUGGAUUGCAGCUUUUUGAAUUGUCAUUUUUCUCCCCUACUCACGCGUGGCCAUUUCCACACACCUCUUCUCCCUGGAGGAGCAGAUGAGAAUAGUCCUGGCUCCCUAAGAG
rnacentral:lncRNA from 1 species